rfam:Heterocephalus glaber contig69579, whole genome shotgun sequence.
GGAUAUGAGGGCCAUCUGGCUGCAACAUCUCUCACCUCAUUGAUCACCAGGGUUGAUUUGGCUGAUAUGGCUGGCUAGGUGCAUGUCCUCUUCCUCCCUCACUGCUCCACGUCACUCCCUCCCAAAGCUGCUCACUAGGUCCAAGAGGACAACCACCUGCAAUAGAGGAGGACCAUUCCCUUGGUCAAGGGUAUAUAAGUAACUGUGCUCCUCUGCUAGAGCCUCCCAACAAGCUCCCACGGUCCUAAAGUGGAUAGGAAUAUACAUAUAAUUAUGUAGUAGGUUUCCACCUAUUUCUAA